AACGAACGCUGGCGGCGCGCCUAAUACAUGCAAGUCGAGCGAGAAGACGUAGCAAUACGUUUGUAAAGCGGCGAACGGGUGAGGAAUACAUGGGUAACCUACCCUAGAGUGGGGAAUAACUAGCCGAAAGGUUAGCUAAUACCGCGUACGCUCCUUGGACUUCGGUUCAGGGAGGAAAGCGAUACCGUGGGUAUCGCGCUCUUGGAUGGGCUCAUGUCCUAUCAGCUUGUUGGGAGGUAACGGCUCACCAAGGCUUCGACGGGUAGCUGGUCUGAGAGGACGAUCAGCCACACUGGCACUGCGACACGGGCCAGACUCCUACGGGAGGCAGCAGUAAGGAAUAUUGCGCAAUGGGCGAAAGCCUGACGCAGCGACGCCGCGUGGGGGAUGAAGGUCUUCGGAUUGUAAACCCCUUUCGGGAGGGAAGAUGGAACGAGCAAUCGUUCGGACGGUACCUCCAGAAGCAGCCACGGCUAACUUCGU
rnacentral:rRNA from 1 species